GAUGAACGCUGGCGGCGUGCUUAACACAUGCAAGUCGAACGGUGAACACGGAGCUUGCUCUGUGGGAUCAGUGGCGAACGGGUGAGUAACACGUGAGCAACCUGCCCCUGACUCUGGGAUAAGCGCUGGAAACGGCGUCUAAUACUGGAUAUGUGACGUGACCGCAUGGUCUGCGUUUGGAAAGAUUUUUCGGUUUGGGAUGGGCGCGCGGCCUAUCAGCUGUUUGGUGAGGGAAUGGCUCACCAAGGCUUCGACGGGUAGCCGGCCUGAGAGGGUGACCGGCCACACUGGAACUGAGAAACGGCCCAGACUGCUACGGGAGGCAGCAGUGGGGAAUAUUGCACAAUGGGCGAAAGCCUGAUGCAGCAACGCCGCGUGAGGGAUGACGGCCUUCGGGUGGUAAACAUAUUUUAGCAGGGAAGAAGCGAAAGUGACGGUACCUGCAGAAAAAGCGCCGGCUAACUACGU
rnacentral:rRNA from 1 species